rnacentral:lncRNA from 11 species
AUGCUUUCUGCUUCAUUAGCAGAUCCACAAUGUUACAAAAUGCCCUUGGAUGACCCUGUUGGAACAAGGCCAUUCUGGCUCGAAGUACCUCCAAAUACCUGUCUUCUCACGCCCCGUGCCAUGACUUCCUCUAGGAUAACAGCAGAUAAAGAGUGUUUGGGGAGGGGCUCAGCACAGCUGCAUCUUAAGUUGUGCUGCCUCAGCUAUUCUUGCUGAAGAAUCAUCCUGCUUAAAGAAGACAGUGCAAACACUGGCCACCUGCCGAAAGCAAACUCUAUCCUGCACUAAGGGGAAAAGACACCCGAGCCAAGCUAGAGACUGCCAUGCUGACUGCACCCUUGAGACUGGAUACUAACUAUUCUUUUGUGCACCCCUCUACCUCUCUUAGUUUUCCCAGCUAAUCAUUGAUCUCUCAGCUUUUUGGACUGCUUACUACCAUGUGGUUUCUCUCCUCACUCAGUGAAUUAUGACACACUGCUAGUGAAGACACACUGUAAUUAAUGACUUUAUACAAUACCUUCCUUCCAAUAAACUUAAGCAAGCAUGCAUUGCUCUCCCACUUUUUGCAUGUUAUCCUCCAAACCAGUCAUCCUCAAACUGCGGCCCUCCAGCUACUUGGACAUCCAAC